GCAGAAACAAGCACAGCUGAAUCAUGCAGAAUUUGAAGAUCAAGAUGAUGAAGCCAGAGUUCAGUAUGAGGGUUUUCGACCUGGGAUGUACGUCUGCGUUGAGAUUGAAAAUGUUCCCUGUGAAUUUGUGUAGAACUUUGACCCCCGUUACCCCAUUAUCCUGGGUGGCUUGGGCAACAGCGAGGGAAAUGUUGGAUACGUGCAGGGAAUGUUUAAUUCAGCCUUGGAAGUGGCCAAAUUUGAAGGUGCUGUGAUUCGAACUGUCAGUGGGAUAAGGGGGCAGAUCAAGAAAGCACUCUGAGCUCCAGAAGGAGCUUUCCGGGCCAGCUUUGAGGAUAAGCUGCUGAUGAGCGAUAUUGUCUUCAUGCAAACUUGGUAUCCUGUUUCCAUCCCAGCCUUCUAUAACCCAGUAACAUCUUUGUUGAAACCAGUGGGUGAGAAAGACACCUGGUCAGGAACGCGGACCACGGGCCAACUCAGGCUUGCCCAUGGUGUCAGACUAAAGGCAAACAAGGACUCUCUGUAUAAGGUUCCCUCUCCCAGCCUGUGCUGACUCAGCCAUCUUCCCAUUCUGCAUCUUCUGGAGCAUCAGUCAGACUCACCUGCAUGCUGAGCAGUGGCUUCAGUGUUGGGGACUUCUGGAUAAGGUGGUACCAACAAAAGCCAGGGAACCCUCCCCGGUAUCUCCUGUACUACCACUCAGACUCCAAUAAGGGCCAAGGCUCUGGAGUUCCCAGCCGCUUCUCUGGAUCCAACGAUGCAUCAGCCAAUGCAGGGAUUCUGCGUAUCUCUGGGCUCCAGCCUGAGGAUGAGGCUGACUAUUACUGUGGUACAUGGCACAGCAACUCUAAGACUCACACAGUGCUCCAGACCCAUGAGGAAGACAUGCUGAAAACACUCAUUAGUGAUUUUGAACAGUAUUAUUUCCUAAACAUCCUAGUUGGAAUGGUUGAUCCUAAAAGCUACCAUGUGUCAGGCUCACCUGAGUGCAGACUGUGGU
rnacentral:lncRNA from 1 species